rnacentral:rRNA from 1 species
GACAGAGGUGCCGAGCGUUAGGCGGAAUCACUGGGCUUAAAGCGUGUGUAGGCGGGCCGUUAAGUAUCUUGUGAAAUCCCCCGGCUCAACCGGGGAAUGGCUGGAUAUACUGGCGGUCUUGAGCGAUCUAGGGGCAGAUGGAACAAGUGGUGGAGCGGUGAAAUGCGUAGAUAUCGUCUGGAACGCCGAAGGUGAAAACAGCUCGCUGGGGCUGCGCUGACGCUGAGACACGAAAGCCAGGGGAGCGAACGGG